rnacentral:ncRNA from 2 species
GUUUGGCCCGGCGAUGGAUUCCGCCUCCCCGCGAGGGAAAACCGCCGCGCUUGCGUGGCUAAUGACUCCUGUUGAUCC